rnacentral:rRNA from 1 species
AUUGAACGCUAGCGGGAUGCCUUACACAUGCAAGUCGAACGGAGUGGCGAACGGGUGAGUAAUGUCUCGGAACGUGCCCAGUAGCGGGGGAUAACUACGCGAAAGCGUAGCUAAUACCGCAUACUAUUGGAGCGGCCGAUAUCGGAUUAGCUAGUUGGUGGGGUAAAUGCUCACCAAGGCGACGAUCCGUAGCUGGUUUGAGAGGACGACCAGCCACACGUGUACUGAGACACGGCCCGGCCUCCUACGUGAGGCAGCAGUGGGGAAUGUUGGACAAUGGGGGGAACCCUGAUCCAGCCAGCCCGCGUGUGCGAUGAGGGCCUUCGGGUUGUAAAGCACUUUUGGCAGGAGAGCGGUACCUGCAGAAUAAGCACCGGCUAACGACGUGCCAGCAGCCGCGGUAAUAC